CAGAAAAUACCUUUUGAUUCCAACAAGCGCUCUUGAUAGGAGAGGAAUAUGAUAUGAUCUUUAAGAAAAACAAGAGAGAGAAGAACAAGAGAGGAAAUACAUUAAUAAAAUACCACACUGGCAUUCCACCCCACCCCUCAUUUUGACGUCCCAUUUUACAUCUCUCUGUGUGGCCCAUGUACUUAAAAGUACUCUAGCCACUACAUGCAAAACAGCAGGACUACACAAAAAUAGCCAACUGCAGUCUGUGGGUACUGCGAUUUCUCUCAGCCCAGGAGACCUGGCAUCUGGUUCCAGCAUUGCCCCUUCAUUUGUGUAUACUUGGGAAGCCACUGGCCUCUCUUGGAAGUCCCAGGCCUUGGCUUUGUAUACUUGCUGAGAAAUUGGCUUGACCAAAUGAUUUCCAAAUGACUCCUUUUAAACCUAAGUUGCUUUAUUUAUUUAUUUUGGUUUUUCAAAU
rnacentral:lncRNA from 1 species